CGAUAUUUCUCGAAGAAAUAUCUCGAAAAUGCGUAAGCGUAAGACAGAAACCGAAGCGACAUCUGUCGAUUAUAUUAGUCGCACAUUGGGCUGGAACAAAUGAACCGGUAAAAACCAUCACAUUUGGCAACGUGUUUGAGUGUUUUUAUCCUAUUAUAAAAAGGAGAUAAUUUAUAAUCGUGAAACAUCAUGACAUCUCCACCUAUUAAAUAUACGACCAACAGAGCCAUUGAUCAUUUCAAUGUUGCAGCUACACUCAUGAAAAUCAUCGGCUACGUCGACUGCAUUGAAGGCCUGAGAGAGUUGCCAAAGUCUCCAUCUAAGUGGAUUUACAAGUGCAUUUUAAAUAACAAUGAUGGCAGAAGGGUUCGCAUACUUUGCUCGGGGGAUGAUGCUCUCAAAUACAAGGAUGAGAUCAAGAUGUAUCAGGGAACCUUGAGGGAAAAAAAAUAUCAACGAAUAAAUAACAUAAAUGCCCAGUUCAGUUUUCUAGAUAAUAAAAAUCACUGGAGGGAUUAUUAAAGCGGCCAAUCCACAGUAUCGGCGAUCAACGGACACUGUGAGCGACAAAGAAUUUCAAUUUGCACGUAGGAGCACUUUCGACAUCUUUGGCACAUUUAACAUUACGAAUGGAGCUGACAAUGGAAGGUCGAAGGUCAUCUCAUAUAAAAAAUUGAGAUGGAGAACGUUUGUGCUGCUCGCGGGCCAGUCCAGAUCACUGGAUGGCUCAAAGAGCCAUUCAGAAGCAUUACCACGGUAAGUGGUUCGAGUUAUGGAUCUGGCAUGUUUUGUACAAGGGUUCAUCGCAUGACCAUUCAUGUGGUAACAUACAUCCCGAGAGAAGAUUUGAUCGAGGGAAUCAAAAUGACCAUUAAAGGUCGAGUUGAUUGUCGUGGGGAUGGUUUUGUUCUGAAUAUUAACAGCAUGGAUGACAUUGCAGUCCUGACUGAGGAUGUAGCCCUCAAUGAAGAUGAGUUGGAUGAUGCUGUCGAAGCACCUCCUCUCAUUCUCAAACGAGGGGCAGCUGAAUCUGCAUCUGGAGAGGCGAUGGACGUCGCGAAUAAGAAACUGAAAGCUGAAUAGCUUUAAUGACGGGCUAUUUACUCUGGAAGUUCAAUUGCAAAAUUGAAAAUUUUUUCUAUAACAAGUUCUAAACUGUUAUUUUUUCACACAAAAAUUGAGUUCUAUAACAAGUUUAACACUGU